AGAGUUUGAUCCUGGCUCAGAAUCAACGCUGGCGGCGUGCCUCAGACAUGCAAGUCGAACGAUUAAAACUUCCUUUCGGGGGAAGAUAUAAAGUGGCGUACGGGUGAGUAACACGUAGGUAAUGUACCUUUGGGUGGGGAAUAACUUAGGGAAACUUAAGCUAAUACCGCAUAAUGCAGCGGCUCGAUAUCGAGACAGUUGUUAAAGGAGUAAUCCGCCUAAAGAGCAGCCUGCGGCAGAUUAGCUAGUUGGUAAGGUAAUGGCUUACCAAGGCUACGAUCUGUAACCGACCUGAGAGGGUGGUCGGUCACACUGACACUGAAUAACGGGUCAGACUCCUACGGGAGGCAGCAGUCGGGAAUUUUGGGCAAUGGGCGAAAGCCUGACCCAGCAACGCCGCGUGAAGGAUGAAGUCUCUCGGGAUGUAAACUUCGUAAGAAUAGGAAGAAUAAAUGACGGUACUAUUUGUAAGGUCCGGCUAACUACGUG
rnacentral:rRNA from 1 species